CGCGGGUGGAGGUGCUCAUCUACCCGCGGGUUGGUGAGCAUGCAGAAUGAAGAAGAAGAUGGUUCCCGUUUGGCUUAUGAGUUGAGCAUAGCCAAAGUUGGCGUUGUUUUUGGAUGUUAAGCGAAUGAGGUGAUGUCUAGGCGAGUGCGCAGUCU